rnacentral:rRNA from 1 species
GACGAACGCUGGCGGCGUGCUUAACACAUGCAAGUCGAACGGAAAGGCCCUGCUUUUGUGGGGUGCUCGAGUGGCGAACGGGUGAGUAACACGUGAGUAACCUGCCCUUGACUUUGGGAUAACUUCAGGAAACUGGGGCUAAUACCGGAUAGGAGCUCCUGCUGCAUGGUGGGGGUUGGAAAGUUUCGGCGGUUGGGGAUGGACUCGCGGCUUAUCAGCUUGUUGGUGGGGUAGUGGCUUACCAAGGCUUUGACGGGUAGCCGGCCUGAGAGGGUGACCGGCCACAUUGGGACUGAGAUACGGCCCAGACUCCUACGGGAGGCAGCGGGGGGGAAUAUUACACAAUGGGCGGGAGCCUGAUGCAGCAACGCCGCGUGCGGGAUGACGGCCUUCGGGUGGUAAACCGCUUUCGCCUGUGACGAAGCGUGAGUGACGGUAAUGGGUAAAGAAGCACCGGCUAACUACGUG